rnacentral:rRNA from 1 species
CCUACGGGAGGCUGCAGUGGGGAAUAUUGCACAAUGGGGGAAACCCUGAUGCAGCGACGCCGCGUGAGUGAAGAAGUAUUUCGGUACGUAAAGCUCUAUCAGCAGGGAAGAAAAUGACGGUACCUGACUAAGAAGCCCCGGCUAACUACGUGCCAGCAGCCGCGGUAAUACGUAGGGGGCAAGCGUUAUCCGGAUUUACUGGGUGAAAAGGGAGCGUAGACGGCAGGGAAGGUCUGGAUUGAAACCCAAUGGCUUACCAUUGAACUGCUUUGGAAACUGUUCAGCUGGAGUGCAGGAGAGGUAAGCGGAAUUCCUAGUGUAGCGGUGAAAUGCGUAGAUAUUAGGAGGAACACCAGUGGCGAAGGCGACUUACUGGACUGUAACUGACGUUGAGGCUCGAAAGCGUGGGGAGCAAACAGGAUUAGAUACCCUUGUAGUC